rnacentral:tRNA from 1 species
UGCACCGCUAGUCUAAUGGUUAGGAUAUCUGCUAUCCAAGCAGAUGGUCCGAGUUCGAUUCCCGGGCGUGCAG